UACGUAGGGUGCGAGCGUUGUCCGGAAUUAUUGGGCGUAAAGAGCUCGUAGGCGGUCUGUCGCGUCUGCUGUGAAAACUCAGGGCUUAACCCUGAGCUUGCAGUGGGUACGGGCAGACUAGAGUGCGGUAGGGGAGACUGGAAUUCCUGGUGUAGCGGUGAAAUGCGCAGAUAUCAGGAGGAACACCGGUGGCGAAGGCGGGUCUCUGGGCCGAUACUGACGGCUGAGGAGCGAAGGCCAGGGGAGCAAACAGG
rnacentral:rRNA from 1 species